GAUAAUUCCUCAGGAAUGUUUGGAAAUAUAGCUCAUUGAAUGUCCAAUUUUUCCCCCUGAAAUAAUAUACUCAGUCUUGCUGGAUAGGUGACUCUGGGUUGUAAACCCAAAGCCAUUGACUUCAUAAAUAUCAUAUUCCUUGCCUUUUGACCCUUUAAUGUAGAAACCACCAGGUCCUGUGAGAUCCUUAUUAUAGCUCCACGGUAUUUAAAUGAUUGCUUUCUGGCUGCUUGAAGUUUUUUUUUUCCUUUCCUUGGUGGUUCUUGAAUUAGCCAUUAGGUUCCUCAAAGUUGUCAUUUGAGGAUUUAUUUCUGGAGGUGAUCUGUGAAUUCUUUUAAUUUCAAUAUUAUUUUCUUGUUCAAGGAUCUCUAGGAAGUUACUUUGAUAAUUUCUUGUAAUAUGAUGUCUAAGGUUUUUUUUUUUUUUCUUGAUCAUGGCUUUCAGGUGUGAUAGAGGCUGGCACUAGAGAAAAAGUGCCAGGCUGAAGAGUAUGUGAAAUUGAUCACCUCAAAGGGGGAGUGACCCCAGGAGUGGAAUCCAGAGGAGGAGAAGACUCUGGCUGGGAGAGCAGUGAGGGUUUCUCUCGGUCUUGAGAAGCCAGAGAGAGAAGUUGGAAAAAAGACUAUCUCCUGAGGGUUAUCCAUCUUUCCUGCUGGUGACUGGAAAUCUUUUCCCCCAACACUUCUCAGUUGAAAGUACUUCUGAAGAGAAACCUGAGCAGACUUUACCUCAGCUCCUGUUGCCUAGAGAUAUUAAAGCAAUUCUUGAAACUUAAUUGGCCAAGAGAACAAAGCGUAUAACAAUUGAAAAAGCCUUCUGGUGACCAGAUUGAAAAAGCCAGCUCAUUAAAAAAGGAACUCAUCCUUCUGACUUGUCAAUGGAGUUCUACCAUGAUGAAUGAGGAAGGCAGAAAAGUUUUGGUAACUGAAUCAAGAUCACAUACU
rnacentral:lncRNA from 1 species